UACGUAGGGUGCGAGCGUUGUCCGGAAUUAUUGGGCGUAAAGAGCGCGUAGGCGGUCUGUUAAGUGUAGAGUGAAAUCUCCAGGGCUCAACCCGGAAACUGCUCUGCAUACUGGCAGACUGGAGUGAUGCAGAGGUUUGUGGAAUUCCUGGUGUAGCGGUGGAAUGCGCAGAUAUCAGGAGGAACACCAACGGCGAAGGCAGCUCGCUAGGACGGUACUGACGCUAAGGCGCGAAAGCGUGGGGAGCGAACAGG
rnacentral:rRNA from 1 species